AUGGGUUCUCUCCAUCAGCUGAGAUAUCUCGACCUAUCAUAUUCACAGUUCAUUGGAAGGAUACCACCGCAGAUGGGUAAUCUCUCCAACUUAGGAUACUUAAAUCUUGCGACCGAAAAUGAUGAGAGUUAUGAUUAUUCUUUCCAUCAUGGCACAUACUCCACUGAUAUCACAUGGUUGUCACGGUUAACUUCACUUGAGCACCUAGAUAUGGCCGAAGUGAACCUCAGUACAAUUGUUCACUGGCUUCCCGUGGUGAACAUGCUUCCAACUCUGAAAGUUCUUGAUCUUUCCUCUUGCCAGCUUAGAAGUAGCCCUGACUCUCUUCAGCUCUCAAACCUUACAUCUCUUGAAGCACUCCACCUUCCAUACAAUGAGUUCCAUAAGCCUAGCACGCCCAACUGGUUUUGGGAUUUAACUAGCCUCAAGCAUCUAGACAUCUCGUUGAAUGGUUUCUAUGGCUCAUUUCCAAACGAGAUGGUUAAUAUGACCUCCAUGGUGGAACUUUCGUUAUUAUAUAAUAACCUUGUGGGCAUGAUACCUGCCGGUAUGAAGAACCUAUGUAAUUUGGAGGCAUUAUCUUUAUCAGGCAACAAUAUCAAUGGAAAUAUACAAGAAUUUUUCAAUCAAUUGCCCAGUUGUUCACAGAAUAAACUACAAUCGUUAUCUGCAUCAAACUGCAAUCUGACUAGAAGCCUGCCAACCACACCAGUAGAAUCCCUAAGCAACAUAAGUCAGCUGUUUCUCGAUAAGAACAAACUCACUGGUCAUUUGCCGGCGGUGUGGUUAGGGGAGCUCACAAAUCUAGCAAUGUUGGACCUUGGCUCCAACAACCUGGAUGGGGUCAUACAUGAGGGCCAUUUAUCACGUCUAGAGAUGUUAUACCUAUUGGACUUGUCAGAUAACUCCAUAGCCAUCACAGUUAGUGCAACAUGGGUUCCUCCUUUCAGUCUAGGAGAAAUUUACCUUCGGUCCUGCCAGCUAGGGCCUAAAUUUCCAGUGUGGCUUCAAUGGCAAACACAAGUAAGGAGUCUUGAUAUAUCGAACACAAGCAUCAAUGAUAUUGUACCAGAUUGGUUUUGGAUAACAGUUUCCACAGCUAUGGUUAUCAAUAUCCGAAAUAAUGAGAUUAAAGGAGUCCUCCCGUCAACAAUGGAAUUUAUGAUUGCGUUAGAAAUGGAUUUCAGUUCUAACCAGCUUGGUGGUUCAAUAAGUAAGUUUCCCAUCAGUCUAACCGACCUGGAUCUCAGUCGGAACAAUAUAGUUGGACCACUACCAUCAGACUUUGGAGCGCCAGGACUUCGAACACUUCUUCUAUACGACAACAUGAUCUCUGGCGCCAUUCCAUCUUCUUUGUGCAAGUUGCGAUCAUUGCAGCUGUUAGACCUAUCAAGAAAUAAUCUCAAUGGGUCAAUUACUGAUUGCAUAGUCAAUGUAUCUAGCACAUACAUGACAGGCCUGAGUAUCAUUAAUCUAAGUUUCAGAAACAACAACCUCUCUGGUGAAUUUCCUUCACUUCUGCAGAAAUGCCCCCAACUCAUCUUUCUUGAUCUCGGACAUAAUCAAUUCUCUGGGACUUUACCAGCAUGGAUUGGGGAGAAGCUAUUGUCUUUGUCAUUCCUACGACUGAGAUCCAAUAUGUUUUAUGGUCACAUUCCAGUCGAGCUUACGAAGCUUGUUCAUCUUCAAUAUUUGGACCUUGCCAACAAUAAUAUCUCAGGGAGCAUACCAAGAUCUAUCAUCCAUUGGACAGCCAUGCAACAAGCAAGAGGCACCUUUGUUUAUCUUCAACAUGCAAUCAGUUAUGGUGGUGCACGGUUCGGUGACAAUAAUCCAGUUGACUAUACUGAGAAUUUGACAGUACUCACAAAAGGUCAAGAGCGAUUAUAUACAGGAGAACUUAUAUAUAUGGUGAAUCUUGAUUUAUCAUGUAAUAGUCUUACCGGAGAGAUUCCUGAAGAAAUUAAUACUCUUAUGGAAUUGAAGAACCUGAACUUAUCAUGGAACAACUUCAAUGGAAAAAUCCCUGAGAAUGUUGGUGCCUUAAUGAAAGUGGAGUCACUCGACCUAUCACACAAUGAUUUGUCUGGUGAAAUCCGUUCAAGCUUAUCGGCUCUCACGUCACUGAGUCACCUGAACCUGUCCUACAACAAUCUCAGAGGAAAGAUACCAACUGGAAAUCAACUGCAAACACUCGAAGACCCAGCAUAUAUUUAUAUUGGCAACCCCGGCCUCUGCGGUCCUCCUCUCUCUAUAAAUUGUUCGACACAACCCGGGCCAAUUCCAGGAGAGCACCAUGGAGAUGCAACUGGCGACUUGGUUUCGUUUUUCCUCGCCAUGAGCUCUGGAUAUGUGACGGGUCUCUGGGUGGUCUUCUGUACCUUCUUGUUCAAGAGGAGAUGGAGAGUUUCGUGGUACUCGCUCUGUGACAGCCUGUAUGACCGGGCUUAUGUGCAAGUGGCUGUUACCUGGGCUUCCUUGAGAGGUAAAAUUAAUGGGUAG
rnacentral:rRNA from 1 species